rnacentral:rRNA from 1 species
AUUGAACGCUGGCGGCAGGCCUAACACAUGCAAGUCGAAUGGUAACAGGAAUCAGCUUGCUGUUUCGCUGACGAGUGGCGGACGGGUGAGUAAUGUCUGGGAAACUGCCUGAUGGAGGGGGAUAACUACUGGAAACGGUAGCUAAUACCGCAUAACGUCGCAAGACCAAAGAGGGGGACCUUCGGGCCUCUUGCCAUCAGAUGUGCCCAGAUGGGAUUAGCUAGUAGGUGGGGUAACGGCUCACCUAGGCGACGAUCCCUAGCUGGUCUGAGAGGAUGACCAGCCACACUGGAACUGAGACACGGUCCAGACUCCUACGGGAGGCAGCAGUGGGGAAUAUUGCACAAUGGGCGCAAGCCUGAUGCAGCCAUGCCGCGUGUAUGAAGAAGGCCUUCGGGUUGUAAAGUACUUUCAGCGGGGAGGAAGGGAGUAAAGUUAAUACCUUUGCCCAUUGACGUUACCCGCAGAAGAAGCACCGGCUAACUCCGUG